AUAGCAGCGAGGCAACACCUGUUCCCAUUCCGAACACAGUAGUUAAGCUCGUCUGCGCCGAUGGUACUGCAUGGGCAACUGUGUGGGAGAGUAGGUCGUCGCCAUCG
rnacentral:rRNA from 1 species